rnacentral:rRNA from 1 species
UACGUAGGGUGCGAGCGUUGUCCGGAAUUACUGGGCGUAAAGAGCUCGUAGGUGGUUUGUCGCGUUGUCCGUGAAAACUCACAACUCAAUUGUGGGCGUGCGGGCGAUACGGGCAGACUGGAGUACUGCAGGGGAGACUGGAAUUCCUGGUGUAGCGGUGGAAUGCGUAGAUAUCAAGAGGAACACCUGAGGUGAAGACGGGUUGCUGGGCUGACACUGACGCUGAGGCGCGAAAGCCAGGGGAGCAAACGGG